rnacentral:rRNA from 1 species
CCCCUAGUACGGCGAGUGAGCGGGAAGAGCUCAAAUUUGAAUCUGGCUCCUUCGGGGUCCGCAUUGUUAUUUGCAGAGGAUGCUUCCGGUGCUGCCCCCUGUCUAAGUGCCCUGGAACGGGCCGUCAUAGAGGGUGAGAAUCCCGUCUGGGACGGGGUGUCCGCGUCCGUGUGAAGCUCCUUCCACGAGUCCAGUUGUUUGGGAAUGCGGCUCUAAAUGGGUGGUAAAUUUCAUCUAAAGCUAAAUACUGGCCGGAGACCGAUAGCGCACAAGUAGAGUGAUCGGAAGAUGAAAAGCACUUUGAAAAGAGAGUUAAAAAGCACGUGAAAUUGUUGAAAGGGAAGCGCUUGCGACCAGACUCGCUUUCUCGGUUCAGCCGGCCUUCGUCCCGGUGUACUUCCCCGCGGGCGGGCCAGCGUCGGUUUGGGCGGCCGGUCAAAGGCCUCGGGGAAUGUAGCGCCCUCUCGGGGCGGCUUAUAGCCCGGGGGUGGCAAUGCGGGCGGGCUGGACCGAGGAAAGCGCUUCGGCACGGACGCUGGCAUAAUGGUCGUAAACGACCCGUCUUGAAACACGGACCAAGGAGUCUAACAUCUACGCGAGUGUUCGGGUGUCAGACCGGUACGCCCCAUGAAAGUAAUGGAAGUGGGAGCCCCCUCUGAGGGGCGCACCAUCGACCGAUCCUGAUGUCUUCGAUGGAUUUGAGUAACAGCGUAACUUGGGGACCCAAAGAUGGUGAACUAUGCCAGAAUAGGGAGCAACCAGAGGAAACUCGGGGGGAGGCUCCAACGGUUCUGACUUCGGACGAUCGUUGUUCAAAUUGGGGUGGGGGUGGGAAGAAUUAUUUAGUCCCUUCCGGUAGUAGUUUCGUUCCGGAGUUUUCUUCCGGCAGGCUAGCAAGAGGGGAUCAGUUUUAUGAGGUAAAGCGAAUGAUUAGAGGCAUUGGGGUUGAAACAACCUUAACCUAUUCUCAAACUUUAAAUAUGUAAGAAGCUCUUGUUGCUUAGUUGAAUCGUGGGCAUUAGAAUGGAGCGUUAUUAGUGGGCCAUUUUUGGUAAGCAGAACUGGCGAUGCGGGAUGAACCGAACGCGAGGUUAAGGUGCCGGAAUGCACGCUCAUCAGACACCACAAAAGGUGUUAGUUUAUUUAGACAGCCCGAACGGUGGCCAUGGAAGUCGGAAUUCGCUAAGGAGUGUGUAACAACUCACGGGCCGAAUGAACUAGCCCUGAAAAUGGAUGGCGCUCAAGCGUGCUACCCAUACCUUGCCGUCGGGGUAGAAACGAUGCCCCGACGAGUAGGCAGG